rnacentral:lncRNA from 1 species
CGCGUCCGUGGGGCUCCGCGCGGGUCCUUGGGGGUCUGCGGGGCUCCCUGCGCGUCCGUGUGGGACCGUGGGGCUCCGUGCGGGUCUGCGUGUCCAUCCGGGUCCAGGCGUGUCCGCAUGGCUCUCUGCGUGUCCGUCUGUGUCCGUGCGUGUCCACGCGUGUCUGCGUGCGUCCGUGUGUGUCCGUGUGGCUCUGUGCGGGCCCGUGCACGUCUGUCUGGGUCCGUGUGUGUCUGCACGGCUCCGGGCAUGUCCGUGUACACGUGUGCGUGUCCGUCUGGCUCCGUGUGUGUCUGUGCGGGUCCAUGUGUGUCCGUGUGCGUCUACGUGGCUCCAUGCAUGUCCAUGCACAUGUGUGCAUGUCUGCCUGGCUUCGUGUGUGUCCAUGUGCAUCCGUGUGGCUCCAUGUGUGUCCAUGGCCAUGUGUCUGUGUCCCUGCGUGUCCAUGUGCGUCUGCGCAGGUCCGUGUGCGUCUGUGCAUGUUCUCGUGGCUCUGUGCGUGUCCGUCCGUGACUGUGCGUGUCUGUACGUGUCCCUGUGGCUCCCUGCGUGUCCAUGCGGCUCCAUGCAGCUCCAUGCAUGUCCGUCUGGGUCCGCGCGUGUCCGUGUGCGUCUGCAGGUCUCUGUGUGUCUGUGCGUGUUCUCGUGGCUCCACGCGUGUCUGUGCGUGUCCGUCUGGGUCCACAUGGCUCCACACGUGUGUCUGGGUCCAUGCAAGUCCGUGCGUGUCUGCACGUGUCCAUGCGGCUCCGUGCGCGUCUGCCUGUGUCCUGCGUGUCCGUGCCUGCACGUCCGUGUGGGCAGCGCGUGGCGUGGCGUGCCGCGGCGUGCCGUGGCGUGACGCGGCGUGUGGCGCGCGGCAGGGAGGCGGCGGCGGCGGCGGCGGGGGGGCCCUGCCGCCCGGGCCGCCAGCGCACGGAGGAGGAGGAGAAGCUGCUGCGGCUGCUGCAGGGGCUCAGCCGGCCCCAGGACGGCUUCACCCAGUGGUGCGAGCAGAUGCUGCACGCGCUCGGCGCCCCCAGCGCCCUGCACGUGCCCACGGCGGUGGCCUUCCUGAAGGAGCUGGAGUCGCCCUACGACGUGCACGACUGCAUCCGCUCGUGCCUGGGCGACACGCCGGAGGCCCAGGCCUUCGCCAAGCAGUUCCUGGAGCGCCGCGCCAAGCACCAGGCCG